UGUGUGUGUGCAUGCUUAUGUGUACGAAGACCCAUUUGCCACCAACUUCUCGAUCAAAAAAUCCGAUUCACAAAUCAGUUUUAACAUCUCGGUUUUCCCCGCCCCUUCCCCACCCUCCCCCCACGACAGGGCCAAUGUCAGGGCCUAGAGUGGGCGUGUGGGCGGUGUAGGGUAAAGAAGGCUCUCUCUUUGGGCGCCCUCAGUGUAACGUCUACUUGGUGUCGAUCUGCAGUGGCGUGGAGUGUGGCGUGGAUUCGUGUCAAAAAUAAGAACUGACUUAUUACAUAACUUUGAUGUCGUGUGGACAUUUCAUCAUCAAGAAUACAAACUUCAUUACGGUUUUCUGAAUUCAAGAUUGAAUGAACAAAGACGAAAGCAUCAGCAUGGAAUCGAAAGAAGGUCGGUUAUAAUGAAAGAAAGAAAGAAAGAAAGAAAGAAAAUAGUGAUUUUGAUGUUGUGAUAUUUUAGGUCUGUGAUGGUGAUUGUGGUGAGGCUGCAGAUCAGUCGUUAAUGGUUAUGUUAAUUAAAGGGGAAGGUUGUUAUCGUAUAAUAUAUCUCUAUGUAGUAGUGGUAGUAACAUGAUAAUUAUUAUUAUUAUCAGCAAUAUUAUUAUUAUCUUUAUUGUUAUUCUUGUUAUCAUUAUUCUCAACGAUUUGUUUUUGCUCAGCAAUGAUAAAAACAUUGCUAGUAACAAUAAAAAAGAAAAGAAAACAACCAAAAUUUUUUUGAAGAAAUGUUUUUUGAUAACAUUAGAUUUUAUUUAUAACGAUGGACAGAUUAACAAAAGGGAUUAUAAUAGCUCUAAAAUAUUACAGCUGUAAUGUCCAGUAACACAGAUAAUAACACACGAAUCUUAACCGUGAUGAAAUGUAAUAAAAAAAAACGAAAAAAAAAUAAAACG